AUUGAACGCUGGCGGCAUGCUUUACACAUGCAAGUCGAACGGCAGCACGGACUUCGGUCUGGUGGCGAGUGGCGAACGGGUGAGUAAUACAUCGGAACGUGCCUAGUAGUGGGGGAUAACUACUCGAAAGAGUGGCUAAUACCGCAUGAGAUCUACGGAUGAAAGCAGGGGAUCGCAAGACCUUGUGCUACUAGAGCGGCCGAUGGCAGAUUAGGUAGUUGGUGGGAUAAAAGCUUACCAAGCCGACGAUCUGUAGCUGGUCUGAGAGGACGAUCAGCCACACUGGGACUGAGACACGGCCCAGACUCCUACGGGAGGCAGCAGUGGGGAAUUUUGGACAAUGGGCGCAAGCCUGAUCCAGCAAUGCCGCGUGCAGGAUGAAGGCCUUCGGGUUGUAAACUGCUUUUGUACGGAACGAAAAGCCCUGGGUUAAUACCCUGGGGUCAUGACGGUACCGUAAGAAUAAGCACCGGCUAACUACGUGCCAGCAGCCGCCGUAAGAC
rnacentral:rRNA from 1 species